UGCAGUCGAGCGGUAGCACAGAGAGCUUGCUCUCGGGUGACGAGCGGCGGACGGGUGAGUAAUGUCUGGGAAACUGCCUGAUGGAGGGGGAUAACUACUGGAAACGGUAGCUAAUACCGCAUAAUGUCGCAAGACCAAAGUGGGGGACCUUCGGGCCUCAUGCCAUCAGAUGUGCCCAGAUGGGAUUAGCUAGUAGGUGGGGUAACGGCUCACCUAGGCGACGAUCCCUAGCUGGUCUGAGAGGAUGACCAGCCACACUGGAACUGAGACACGGUCCAGACUCCUACGGGAGGCAGCAGUGGGGAAUAUUGCACAAUGGGCGCAAGCCUGAUGCAGCCAUGCCGCGUGUGUGAAGAAGGCCUUCGGGUUGUAAAGCACUUUCAGCGGGGAGGAAGGCGAUAAGGUUAAUAACCUUGUCGAUUGACGUUACCCGCAGAAGAAGCACCGGCUAACUCCGUGCCAGCAGCCGCGGUAAUACGGAGGGUGCAAGCGUUAAUCGGAAUUACUGGGCGUAAAGCGCACGCAGGCGGUCUGUCAAGUCGGAUGUGAAAUCCCCGGGCUCAACCUGGGAACUGCAUUCGAAACUGGCAGGCUAGAGUCUUGUAGAGGGGGGUAGAAUUCCAGGUGUAGCGGUGAAAUGCGUAGAGAUCUGGAGGAAUACCGGUGGCGAAGGCGGCCCCCUGGACAAAGACUGACGCUCAGGUGCGAAAGCGUGGGGAGCAAACAGGAUUAGAUACCCUGGUAGUCCACGCCGUAAACGAUGUCGAUUUGGAGGUUGUGCCCUUGAGGCGUGGCUUCCGGAGCUAACGCGUUAAAUCGACCGCCUGGGGAGUACGGCCGCAAGGUUAAAACUCAAAUGAAUUGACGGGGGCCCGCACAAGCGGUGGAGCAUGUGGUUUAAUUCGAUGCAACGCGAAGAACCUUACCUGGUCUUGACAUCCACAGAACUUWSCAGAGAUGSAUUGGUGCCUUCGGGAACUGUGAGACAGGUGCUGCAUGGCUGUCGUCAGCUCGUGUUGUGAAAUGUUGGGUUAAGUCCCGCAACGAGCGCAACCCUUAUCCUUUGUUGCCAGCGGUUMGGCCGGGAACUCAAAGGARACUGCCAGUGAUAAACUGGAGGAAGGUGGGGAUGACGUCAAGUCAUCAUGGCCCUUACGACCAGGGCUACACACGUGCUACAAUGGCAUAUACAAAGAGAAGCGACCUCGCGAGAGCAAGCGGACCUCAUAAAGUAUGUCGUAGUCCGGAUUGGAGUCUGCAACUCGACUCCAUGAAGUCGGAAUCGCUAGUAAUCGUAGAUCAGAAUGCUACGGUGAAUACGUUCCCGGGCCUUGUACACACCGCCCGUCACACCAUGGGAGUGGGUUGCAAAAGAAGUAGGUAGCUUAACCUUCGGGAGGGCGCU
rnacentral:rRNA from 1 species